AGCAGUAGCCGCGGUAAUGCGUAGGGUGCGAGCGUUAGUCGGAAUUACUGGGCGUAAAGCGUGCGCAGGCGGUUGUGUAAGACAGGUGUGAAAUCCCCGGGCUUAACCUGGGAACUGCGCUUGUGACUGCACAGCUAGAGUAUGGCAGAGGGGGGUGGAAUUCCACGUGUAGCAGUGAAAUGCGUAGAGAUGUGGAGGAACACCGAUGGCGAAGGCAGCCCCCUGGGCCAAUACUGACGCUCAUGCACGAAAGCGUGGGGAGCAAACAGGAUUAGAUACCCCAGUAGUCCCUGUCUCUUAUAC
rnacentral:rRNA from 1 species